AUUGAACGCUGGCGGCAGGCCUAACACAUGCAAGUCGAGCGAGCGGCGGACGGGUGAGUAAUGUAUGGGGACUGCCCGAUAGAGGGGGAUAACUACUGGCAACGGUGGCUAAUACCGACUACUCUCGGAUACCCCAUAUGGGAUUAGCUAGUAGGUGGGGUAAAGGAUCACCUAGGCGACGAUCGCUAGCUGGUCUGAGAGGAUGAUCAGUCACACUGGGACUGGGACACGGACCAGACUCCUACGGAGGCAGCAGUGGUGAAUAGUGCACAAGGGGGGCAAGCCGGAUGCAGCCAUGCCGCGUGUAUGAAGAAGGCCUUAGGGUUGUAAAGUACUUUCAGUCGGGAGGCGUUACCGACAGAAGAAGCACCGGCUAACUCCGUGCCAGCAGCCGCGGUAAUUC
rnacentral:rRNA from 1 species